rnacentral:rRNA from 1 species
UACGUAGGGGGCUAGCGUUGUCCGGAUUUAUUGGGCGUAAAGAGCGUGUAGGCGGCCAGGUAGGUCUGCUGUGAAAACUCGAGGCUUAACCUCGAGAUGUCGGCGGAAACCAUCUGGCUAGAGUCCGGAAGAGGAGAGUGGAAUUCCCGGUGUAGAGGUGAAAUUCGUAGAUAUCGGGGAGGAACACCGGCGGCGAAGGCGGCGAUCUGGGUCGAUACUGACGCUGAGGUGCGAAAGCGUGGGGAGCAAACAGG